ACCGAGUCCUUGUCCGAGAUCCUUGCUUGGUCCGAAAGUUGGAAGAGAUGGGAUGUUAUUUGGGGUUUCUAGUUGAGAGAGAAAUAGAAGGAGUAUGGAUGUGUGUUGUGUAACAAAUGAAAGAAGUGAGGAGGAGGUUGGGAUUAUAUACAAGGUUCCAACACAAGCUUAGGGGAUUUCGGCCCAAGCCGGUUACGGCCCAAAGGCCCACUCGAGACCGAGUGGCCCACUCGCAACCGAGUGGUUGCGAGUCGUGGUCUCGGCUCUCAUAUAUAUAUAUAUAAUACAUAUAUACAACACAUAUCAUGUAAAAGUCACGUUUCCAUUUAAUAAUAUUUAUAUACUCAAAAUAUUACAAGGUGUUCGUUCGGAAAAACCUAGAGUGUCACAUCUUAAUGGCCCAUGAAAGUUUUCGGUUCCUGUUGGAUAAGUGUGGUUGCGGGUUCGGUCUGUGGCAGUCUAAGUCUCACCUCUCAAGUGGUGCUUAUAAAAUCCUAUUUCAGCAAAGCCAGUGGGUGUGCCUUAAAGCCAGGGGCAGUUUCGUCUUUAUGGCCUGGGACAAUUUAUUUCCGGGUUUGAUGUUUGUUUUCCGGGGUUUCGCCAUGUCAUGUUGUGUGCUUCGAGUUUACCGUGAUGUCCCGAGUAUGCUGACUUGGUCCGAGUUGCGGCCAUGAUCCGGGGUUACGGCAGUGUUCUGGGUUUGCUGCCUUGUUCCGGGGUUGCUGUCAUGCUCCGGGAUUCCUGUCAGGUCCCGAGCCUUGUUUGGGUUAAUGUAGUGUUAUUCAAGGCCCAUUACAAUGGCCUUGUGCUGUUGCUUAUAGGAUAUUGCUGCGCUUUCGACUCAGGCAGGCUGCUGUUGAAGGCCCACCAGUUGGGUAGAGUGGUAUUCCGAUUGUGAUCAAAUAGAAAGAAAACGUUUGAGGCGUGCGCCUCUAGGCGCGCCUCGAGGCGAAACGGCCAAAAAACGAGUCUGAGGCGCGCCCCGAGGGGAAACGGCCAAACAAGAGCAAAGUUUAAACGAAGCCGAUUCUGAUACCGUAGAGGAUACGGAUUCCGAAACAGAAAUGGAACUGGAUUCAAACGACGACUUUGACCAAAACCAAAGGGUCAAAGCUGCACCAAAAGUUAUGUUUUGGUUCUUAGUUGUUCUGUACUCCCCUCAUUAGCUGCUAGCUAAGAGGUUUUAUUUUAGGAAUGUAGUUUCUUUUGGCUGGUAAAAAAAAAACAAAUAAAUAGAAGGAUUUGUUAUUGUAAUUCAUGCCUUAUAAGAACUUUGUUAUGAUAAGGCAUAUACCUUUAUCUCACCCGAACACAUUAUUAUCACAUGUUUUUCUUUUAACA